rnacentral:lncRNA from 1 species
UUCUGCAAUUAAGGCUCAAAGAUAAUGGUAAUGGUGAUUUAUAACAAGGGUAUUUUUACAAGUUACUGUAUCUUUCCUAAUAACUUGGUCUCUUUUCUUCACUUCAAUCUUGUAUUGAGCUCCACUACUCUCAUCCAUCUCUUUAUAAAGCACGAUGGUAUCGCUGGGCUUCAAAUCUUUACUGCGAACAAACUUAAACCAGUUCCCAAAAACAACUGGUUUCGAAAAGCCGAUGGCCGGAAUCCUGCAACGGAAUGACCAGACAUUUCCAGAAUCAUCUUUAACAUGUAAAAUGAUUUCAUGGCCCUUUUGUGCUGGUGGGAAAGCUUUUAUAGUAUUUUCUGGCAUAGAUAGUCUUCUCAAAAUAUCACUACUCGUAAGUAUUUUUGAGAAGAUAGCCAUGGCUUGGUGGAGUAGUUGGAGAAAUUUCUCUGCGCUUGAAGCAUUUAUACUGAGCUAGGCAGUGGACCAUCUCUUGCUUUUUCUUUCUGUAGCUGAAUAGAUUUUUCUUUUGUUUUCUUUUGGGUAAUAAAGAAAGAAAGAGAGUGAUAGAUAAGUGGUGGAUUUUCAGAGGUCCACAUGCUAUCUUUUUGUCCUUAUCAUUUGUGUUCUUUUUUGAAAAUUGCAAAAAUUUUGUUUCUUUAUCAAAGCUUUUCUAGGUAUAUUCUUGCAACAAAACUGGAUGCAUUGCUUUUCUUUGAUAGAAGCUUGGAAAUGAUCGAAAACUUGGGCUUUUUGUGAAUUUAGGUAGGAGACUUUUUAUUUGCGGAUUUGAGGUUAGAAUAAAAAUAUUUGUAAAUUUAGAAUUGGAGUGAUAGGUGGCCGUCGAAAAAUUUAUUUGGCGUUUAUACGCCAGACGCCAGAAUCUCACGCCACUUUAAGCGGCACCAGACUAUUAUUAUUAUUAUUAUUUUUUUUUUAAAAUGGCCUGACGCCACUCACAAUGGUCCAGGUUAUUAUUUAUUUUUUUAAAAAAAAAUAUAUAUUAAUUAAUAAAAUUAUAAUAUUUUAAUAAUUAAAAAAAUUUUAAAAAAAAAUCAAGGGUCAAUCCAUUUUUAAAAAAAAAAUAAAAAAAAUAAUGGCAUGUCAGGUCAUUUAACAAAAAAAAAGGCCUGGCGCCACUCAAACAAAUUUUUCGGCCGCUACCUGUCGCCCAACCCUAAAUCCGUAAAUAUUUCUAUUAUAAUUCUAAAUCCGUAAAUAAAAAGAAUUUCACCCCUAAAUUGAUAAAAAUCCUAAAACUUAAAAGCAUGCUGACCCUACCAAACCAAUAAGCAUGUGAGGAUCAAACGUUAGUCUUCAAACGAGCAAUAAUUACGAUUUUUCUUUUUAUCUAACUUUAACUCAAAUUUAUUUUUUUUAUACAUUUCUUUCUAUUUUAGCUAUAAUUAAAUAAUGAAAAAAAAUUUCAAAGCUUGACAAAGAAAUUUUAUAUGACUUAUCAUCUGUUGUAUGUGAGAUUAGGAUGUUAGGCCAAACAAGAAAGCAACGUAGAAAAAGAUCAUCAACUGCAAGGUCCAUCACUAUCUUUGUUUUAUUAUUAUUUUAUAAAUUCAAAUGCAAACGAUUCUUUGUUUUUCUUUGAUAAAUAGUCUGAUCCUUAAAUAUAUAGUUGGAAAUCUUCAAUAAUAAUAAAUUUUAUUUUAUAAUAAUAAUUAUAAAUAUUUUAUAAUAGAUAUAUUAUUUAAUUUAAAAUAAUAAUAAAAAUCAAUUUAAAAUUGUUGACUGUAUAUUUAAUCAUUAAAUUGUUAUUAUUUUUAAAAUUAAAUGUAUAAAUUAAUUAUAAUUAAAUAUGAAUUAAUAUUAUUUUUUAUAUAUAGAAUUAAUUUAUAUUUGCUCAGAAGUUCUGUUUUGAUCUGUUGUCUGUCUUACUAUCAAACAAGAAAAGGGACACUAGAUUUUAAAAAUUGCUAAGAUUUUAUCCACUAUUUUGUUUUGAAAAGUCCAAAUCAGUUUUUCAACUUUUGAUUAUAGUUCAAGAAAAUCCAAUUUAAUUUUUUUAAUUAAAUAAAUUCCUAAACUUUAUUUUUAGUGCCAAAUAAUAUAAAAGUAGAUGACAAUGGUAUAUGAAUAUUAAAUUAAGAAUUGUUAGUACAGACUGUUGAAUUAAUACGCAAGUAGUCGGCCAUUGCAAAGAUCGUUGACAUUUUCACUUCACAAUCAGUACGGACAAAUUAGUCCUUUUCAUUUUCUUCUAAAGACCCAAAAAGAAAGGGACGAGGUUCAAUGUCUGGAUUUGCUUGCUUCUAGAUAUUAAGAUUCCCAUGUGAAAUGAUCUCUGUCAGAUCAGUUGCAAAAACAUAGAUAUUGCUAAAGAUAAAUGAAGGAGAAUGAAAUAUUAAUUUAUUCUAACAUCUUCACUAUAGAAGAAGCCAUACAAAUUACAGAAAAUAAGCAAUCCAAGAAGACAAUCAAGGGCAAAGCUCUGCUACAGCUUAUACCUUAUUCUUCAUAUAACAGUAAAAACAACAAUAACUAUAAUUAUUUAGUACCAGAUUUUCAAACAUGAACUUUUAGAAUCACUUACUACUACCUAGAAUAUGUUGAAGCUCGAACACGAUUCCUCAAAUCCUGACCAAACAGCAAGCAUUGAUUUCUUUUAGCCUGGAUUUUGAAUGUAAUUCUGCCAGUUUCAUCUUCUUCCUUGUAGAAAAUAACUUCAUCACCUUCUACUAGAUGUUUCUCUUUUACGUAGCAUGUCCAACCCUUGCGGAACUCAGGUUUAGGGUGGCCUUUGAUGCGCUUACAACAAGUGAAUUUCUUGACAGAAUUAUCAUCCACGUCAAUAAAAUCAAACUCUUUAGAAAAUUCACCUUCUGGUAUGGAGAAGACACCCAGCUGAUAAGUCUCCAUUGGAACUGCCAUUCGAUGUUUGAAAUCAGUAUCCGUCAGCUUCUUUGUAAAGAGAACUUCAAGAGUGGACAUGGCUAAUUAAGCAAAUAUGGAGACUCUUGAUUGUUGGGAAGAUUGGGAUCCAAAUGCUGUUCUUUUUAUAGGAGAAGUUAAAGGAUUUGAUUGGUCCACGUUCAUCCUCAUCACAUAAAGGUAAUGAUAUGAUUUGAUGCAUGUGACAUUUUGCUGAGUUCCAAAACCACUGGAAUGUAUGUUGCACAACUCGUGGGCUAUAAAAUAAAUGGUAUAUGCAAGUGGGGCCAUUGCAAGAUUGUUGAGAACUCGGGAGUGUCUUGCUUCUGGUAGACUAAGAAAAGGUAUUAAGAUUCCAUAUGACCUUUUUCAAAGUUAUAAAAUGUCGGCUACAAUAUGCUAAGUAGAUAAAGUGAAUUAAAAUUAAAUUAACCAUAUAUGGAAACAUUUUAAGAAAAAUUAUUUUAUCUUUUACCUUUAAAAGGUGAUGAGAGGAGUUCUUUUUCUCAUAAUCAGCAAUUUUAAAUUUAAAUUUUAAGUAUAAAAUAUUUUCAAAGUUUAGGAGAAAAUAUUUUGCUUUUUUUUAAAGAAUUUGACUAAAUGAGAUAAUUUGUGAUUUAACGGAUUAAAUGACUAGAAGGACAAUUAAAUGACUAGACGAAAUAAAUUGAUGGACGAUUAGAUGAAUAAAUGAGAUGAUUUGACAGGCAAUAAUUUGGUGAUCGAUUUAAUAUUCUAAUGAUUGAUCUAAUGAAUAAUCUAAUAUAACCAUAUAAUGACCAGACGAUUUAUCGACCUGAUAACCUGAUAUUACUGGAUGACCAAAUUAAUAAUAAAAUUAUCGAAUAAUUGAGUGAUGACACAGUGAACUAAUAUUUAAAGUUAUAUUAUUUUGUACAAGGGUUUUAUGUAUUUGUAUUAAUUUAACUUAAAUUUUUUUUAAAAAAUUACAUUAUUAUUUUUUUUGAAUUCUUAUAAACUGUGCAUGAUACGUAAUUUAAUUUUAUGGACAAGCAUAAAUAGUCUGUUUGUAUAAAACUAAAAUAGAUUAAAAAAUAAGUAUAAAUAACUUACUUGUAUAGGACUAAAAUAAAUUGAUAUAUUAAAAAAUAUUAUUCGUUUCUUUCUACUGUAUGAUAUAAAUUUAAAAUUAUAGGAAUAAAUUAAUUAUUAUAUUUUUAGAAUUUAAGAAAUAUUUUAUAUACUUAUUAAAAUUUAAAAUUAACAGAUUAAUCAACAAAAUUUUCAAUACCAACGAAAUAAAUAGAAAAUUUUCCAAUUAUUUAACAUAAUCUGGUAAUUGAGAUGAAAAGGCAAAAAUGCUUUGGGACUCUCUUGCCGGUCAUCAAUGGACCAACGUGUGCUUCAACCAGCGAUAAAUAAAAAAUAAAAAUAAAAAAAAAAAAACUUAGGGGUUUUACAAUCCUGACCCUAUGGUCCUAUUUAAUCAAAACCAGUUGAGCCACAUUUGUCACCACCUGAAUGUGAGCUCUGAAAAUGGUGAGCCAUUUUUAUGUGCAUUUUGGCUGCCUCCGGAUGCCUGUGAACUAAUAAACCAUAAUAGCUUAUUCUAAAUUUAUUUGUUUCUAAAUUUUAUAAAUAUUUUAAUUUAUUUUUUUAAAAUUAAAAAAUCAACAAAUGAAUAUGAACUAAAUAAUAAAUUUCUUUUUAUUAAUAGAGAGACAGGGAACAGAGUAGGUUGCAAGAGAAACAGAGCCGAGCAGAGUACUGGGAAUAUUUCGAUAAUCACUAGCUUUUCUCUCGGUAAUGAAUCUGCUUAAUUUCGAGAAUGGCUCAGCCAGCUACUUGUGUAAUCAACUCACCGAUUGGAGCUUCUAACAAUUAGAUAGCAGGAAACAGAGCAGGGGACUUGAGCAUUUGCAUUAUCGUUAGAUUUUCCUCUUAGCAGUCAAUUAAUCUAGUUUCCAGCAUGUUUUGGCUAGCUAAUUCUGCAAUUAAGGCUCAAAGAUAAUGGUAAUGGUGAUUUAUCACAAGGGUAUUUUUACAAGUUACAGUAUCUUUCCUAAUAACUUAGUCCCUUUUCUUCACUUCAAUCUUGUAUUGAGCUCCACUACUCUUAUCCAUCUCUUUAUACAACACGAUGGUAUCGCCGGGCUUCAAAUCUUUACUGCGAACGAACUUAAACCAGUUCCCAAAAACAACUGGUUUCGAAAAGCCGAUGGCCGGAAUCCUGCAACGGAAUGACCACAAAAUGCCAGCAUCAUCUUUAACAGGUAAAAUGAUUUCAUGGCCCUUUUGGGCUGGUGGGAAGGCUUUUAAAGUAUUUUCUGGCAUAGAUAGUCUUCUCAAAAUAUCACUACUUGUAAGUACUUUUGAGAAGAUUGCCAUGGCUAGG